rnacentral:rRNA from 1 species
AACGAACGCUGGCGGCAUGCCUAACACAUGCAAGUCGAACGGGAUCCUAGCUUGCUAGGUGAGAGUGGCGGACGGGUGAGUAACACGUGGGAAUCUGCCUUUUGGUUCGGGAUAACCGCGGGAAACUGCGGCUAAUACCGAAUGCCCUCGAGAGAGGAAAGAUUUAUCGCCAGAAGAGGAGCCCGCGUCCGAUUAGCUAGUUGGCGGUGUAAUGGACCACCAAGGCUACGAUCCAUAGCUGGUCUGAGAGGACGACCAGCCACACUGGGACUGAGACACGGCCCAGACUCCUACGGGAGGCAGCAGUGGGGAAUCUUCCGCAAUGGGCGAAAGCCUGACGGAGCGACACCGCGUGAAGGAUGAAGCCUUUAUUGGUGUAAACUUCUUUUCUGUGGGAAGAUGAUGACGGUACCACAGGAAUAAGGGGCGGCAAACUAUGUGCCAGCAGCCGCGGUAAU